rnacentral:rRNA from 2 species
UUAAGCGACUAAGCGUACACGGUGGAUGCCCUGGCAGUCAGAGGCGAUGAAGGACGUGCUAAUCUGCGAUAAGCGCCGGUAAGGUGAUAUGAACCGUUAUAACCGGCGAUUUCCGAAUGGGGAAACCCAGUGUGAUUCGUCACACUAUCAUUAACUGAAUCCAUAGGUUAAUGAGGCGAACCGGGGGAACUGAAACAUCUAAGUACCCCGAGGAAAAGAAAUCAACCGAGAUUCCCCCAGUAGCGGCGAGCGAACGGGGAGGAGCCCAGAGCCUGAAUCAGCAUGUGUGUUAGUGGAAGCGUCUGGAAAGGUGCGCGAUACAGGGUGACAGCCCCGUACACAAAAGCGCAUGUGCUGUGAGCUCGAUGAGUAGGGCGGGACACGUGGUAUCCUGUCUGAAUAUGGGGGGACCAUCCUCCAAGGCUAAAUACUCCUGACUGACCGAUAGUGAACCAGUACCGUGAGGGAAAGGCGAAAAGAACCCCGGCGAGGGGAGUGAAAAAGAACCUGAAACCGUGUACGUACAAGCAGUGGGAGCACAGGUUUACCUGUGUGACUGCGUACCUUUUGUAUAAUGGGUCAGCGACUUAUAUUCUGUAGCAAGGUUAACCGUAUAGGGGAGCCGUAGGGAAACCGAGUCUUAACCGGGCGUUAAGUUGCAGGGUAUAGACCCGAAACCCGGUGAUCUAGCCAUGGGCAGGUUGAAGGUUGGGUAACACUAACUGGAGGACCGAACCGACUAAUGUUGAAAAAUUAGCGGAUGACCUGUGGCUGGGGGUGAAAGGCCAAUCAAACCGGGAGAUAGCUGGUUCUCCCCGAAAGCUAUUUAGGUAGCGCCUCGUGAAUUCAUCUCCGGGGGUAGAGCACUGUUUCGGCUAGGGGGCCAUCCCGGCUUACCAACCCGAUGCAAACUGCGAAUACCGGAGAAUGUUAUCACGGGAGACACACGGCGGGUGCUAACGUCCGUCGUGAAGAGGGAAACAACCCAGACCGCCAGCUAAGGUCCCAAAGUCAUGGUUAAGUGGGAAACGAUGUGGGAAGGCCCAGACAGCCAGGAUGUUGGCUUAGAAGCAGCCAUCAUUUAAAGAAAGCGUAAUAGCUCACUGGUCGAGUCGGCCUGCGCGGAAGAUGUAACGGGGCUAAACCAUGCACCGAAGCUGCGGCAGCGAACGUAUCACCCAAGACAACUUUACGGAGUUGACGAUUGACGGAGCGAAGCGACGUCAAAGCGUUCAUUAAAGUCGAGUUGGCUUAGGGAUACGUUCGUUGGGUAGGGGAGCGUUCUGUAAGCCUGUGAAGGUGUGUCGUGAGGCAUGCUGGAGGUAUCAGAAGUGCGAAUGCUGACAUAAGUAACGAUAAAGCGGGUGAAAAGCCCGCUCGCCGGAAGACCAAGGGUUCCUGUCCAACGUUAAUCGGGGCAGGGUGAGUCGACCCCUAAGGCGAGGCCGAAAGGCGUAGUCGAUGGGAAACGGGUUAAUAUUCCCGUACUUGGUGUUACUGCGAAGGGGGGACGGAGAAGGCUAUGUUGGCCGGGCGACGGUUGUCCCGGUUUAAGCGUGUAGGUGUGUGUUCCAGGUAAAUCCGGUUCACUUUAACACUGAGGCGUGACGACGAGGCACUACGGUGCUGAAGCAACAAAUGCCCUGCUUCCAGGAAAAGCCUCUAAGCAUCAGGUAACAUCAAAUCGUACCCCAAACCGACACAGGUGGUCAGGUAGAGAAUACCAAGGCGCUUGAGAGAACUCGGGUGAAGGAACUAGGCAAAAUGGUGCCGUAACUUCGGGAGAAGGCACGCUGACACGUAGGUGAAGUGAUUUACUCAUGGAGCUGAAGUCAGUCGAAGAUACCAGCUGGCUGCAACUGUUUAUUAAAAACACAGCACUGUGCAAACACGAAAGUGGACGUAUACGGUGUGACGCCUGCCCGGUGCCGGAAGGUUAAUUGAUGGGGUCAGCGCAAGCGAAGCUCCUGAUCGAAGCCCCGGUAAACGGCGGCCGUAACUAUAACGGUCCUAAGGUAGCGAAAUUCCUUGUCGGGUAAGUUCCGACCUGCACGAAUGGCGUAAUGAUGGCCAGGCUGUCUCCACCCGAGACUCAGUGAAAUUGAACUCGCUGUGAAGAUGCAGUGUACCCGCGGCAAGACGGAAAGACCCCGUGAACCUUUACUAUAGCUUGACACUGAACAUUGAGCCUUGAUGUGUAGGAUAGGUGGGAGGCUUUGAAGUGUGGACGCCAGUCUGCAUGGAGCCGACCUUGAAAUACCACCCUUUAAUGUUUGAUGUUCUAACGUGGACCCGUAAUCCGGGUUGCGGACAGUGUCUGGUGGGUAGUUUGACUGGGGCGGUCUCCUCCUAAAGAGUAACGGAGGAGCACGAAGGUUGGCUAAUCCUGGUCGGACAUCAGGAGGUUAGUGCAAUGGCAUAAGCCAGCUUGACUGCGAGCGUGACGGCGCGAGCAGGUGCGAAAGCAGGUCAUAGUGAUCCGGUGGUUCUGAAUGGAAGGGCCAUCGCUCAACGGAUAAAAGGUACUCCGGGGAUAACAGGCUGAUACCGCCCAAGAGUUCAUAUCGACGGCGGUGUUUGGCACCUCGAUGUCGGCUCAUCACAUCCUGGGGCUGAAGUAGGUCCCAAGGGUAUGGCUGUUCGCCAUUUAAAGUGGUACGCGAGCUGGGUUUAGAACGUCGUGAGACAGUUCGGUCCCUAUCUGCCGUGGGCGCUGGAGAACUGAGGGGGGCUGCUCCUAGUACGAGAGGACCGGAGUGGACGCAUCACUGGUGUUCGGGUUGUCAUGCCAAUGGCACUGCCCGGUAGCUAAAUGCGGAAGAGAUAAGUGCUGAAAGCAUCUAAGCACGAAACUUGCCCCGAGAUGAGUUCUCCCUGAGACUUAGAGUCUCCUGAAGGAACGUUGAAGACGACGACGUUGAUAGGCCGGGUGUGUAAGCGCAGCGAUGCGUUGAGCUAACCGGUACUAAUGAACCGUGAGGCUUAACCU